CAAGUAGCACCACAGCCCAUCUGGGCCAAAGGAAAGUAAAUGCCAUCACAGAUUGUUUCACGGAAGAGACUUUUGCAGUAACUUUAUUAAGGCUUCCUCAUGCGAUUAUGGACAUGAUAAAGGAAGCUGAUAAUAAUGAUGCUAUUAUUAAUGAUUGCAAUGGUAAUUUGUGCUACAGCAGUCCAUUGUGAGUGGCAGUUUAGUGUGACUUAAAAUUCAUAGCAUUUUUUUUUGUUUUUACUGACAUAGUUUUGUAUGCAUUUGUUUAUAUACUUUUUAGUAUAUGCAGGAUUUAAACAUUCCAUUUAUAUAUGCAUGACUUUAAGAUCAUAAAUUGAAUAAAAACUUAACAGACAUGUCUUUGAGAAAUAUUUUGUUUUAGAGUUGGCCCGCACGUGUUCAGACGUAGGAAUCACUGUUAGAGCACAUUGGUUAUAAGAGAAACCUGACCCAACUAUUUGACUGCUCCUGCUCGUAUUAUGUGUAGAUAAUUAAAAUUGCUAGUCAUAUUUUGACCAUUGUCUCUGUAGAAAGGGUACGCUGUGUCAUCUCACUCCUUUGUUUUGAUAACUUCCUGACACUGUUGUGCUACUGAUUCUUGUCUAAUUGAAUUUCAGACUACUGUUUUAAAAACACUGAGUCUCCAUGAUUUCAGGGGUGUCAUGAAUACAUCCAGUAUUGAAAUGAACAUGCAGAAACUUCUAGUAUAGUAAUUUCAUUUAAUAAAUGAGAAAAAUUAGAUCCAGAGAGCAACUAAGUCAUCAAGAGGACUAGCCAGCUAGAAUUGCUCUCCAGGAUAUGAUGUUAAGCAGAUUUCACUAGCAGUAUUGAUGAAAUGAUUUGUGAGAUAGAGAUUAUUACUGGAGAACCAAAUAUCAACUAGAAUUAGGUGAUAGACAAAGACUUUUUAAAGUUUUUUAAUAUUUGUUUUUGGUUCAAACUUGAUGACACAAUGAAACCAUCCUUUCAGACUGUCAGAAAAUACACUUGGUGUUUACGUGUACUUCUUCCUUUCUUUUUUUAACAUUCAAGACAUUAUUUGGUAGCAUUUUACUGAAUUUACUUUCUCUCUCAAGUGUUCAGCAUCUUAGAGACAUUACCUGUAGGAUUUCCCAUGUGAAGAUUAAUGACUGUUAUUAACAUCUCUUAGGACUAUUAGUCUUUUGUGCUUUCCUAAUUUGGCAAAGUGAGUAGGAAAUCGGGAAAUAGGUUUAUGCAUUUUUCCCAGGGAGGUGUCACUCAUAGACAGAUACAAGUUCUGGAAGGAGUCUUCUGAGAAAUUUUGGUGAUAUCAAGCAGGCUAUAGAAUUGGAGAAUGUUUCUCACAGGGCUCUAGAUUAUAUUUUUGUUGUUUCUUAAACAUAACACUGAUUGAAUCAAAUCUGGAUUGUUACUCAAACCAGGCUCUCCUGCCCCGAGAAGGGGCCUGUCAGGAAGUUACCAUCACACAUCUAAAUGGAAAUCAGGAGCAACGUGAGUCCAGCGCUCUCCAGUCAUUUCUUCCUUUCUUUUCUGGAAGCAUCCGUACUGCACUGAAUGUUUUAUAGCAAUAGGGGAGGGCAACAUGACCAUCUUUUACAAGUGGGACCUAAAGUGCCUACUUGACAGGUGCCUAUCCCACAUGCAUGUGCAUACGGACCUUCUGGGGAUAAGGUUAAUAUGACUCUUGUCAUCCAGCUUGCCUGGGAGGGAACAACCCAGGUGAGAGCUGUGGCUCACACUGCAGGUACAAUUAGAAUGUGAAGCAUUGUGACCGUGGGAAAUAUUUCUUAAAUGAAUGAAUUAGGAAUGCAUAAAUAAGUGUAACAACAAGCAAAUAAAUGGACAAGCUAGGAAGAAAAUACAAAUACUCGGGUUAUGAAUAUAUGUGCGUCAAAUAUAGUAAUUAUUUAGCAUAGGACUGUUCCCUUUUUGAGACUUUACUACGUGGGACAUAUUUGGGCAUUAGAAGGGUGAGUCCGUAUAUACUUAUUACAUGUGUUCAUGUCAUUUUAGAAACGUAUUUCUUUCCUAAGGAUAGAUACAAUUAAAUUGAUAAUAGGCCUAAUAAUAUUGAUUUUCUCUUUUCUGUCUCUUAAGGUUUAAACAGUGUAGGUUGGCACUACUGUGUUAAUAGGGCCAAAAAAAUUCACAGCAUACAAUAUUUCAUUUAGUACAUAAAAUAAGAUAUCUCCCAGUUGUCCCAGCUGUAGCUUCAAACCUGAACCUAUGUUAAUAAACAUGGAUAGGUUUACUUUACGUAGCAUAAUUUAAAUGGAAAGCAGUAGACCAUCUCUUUGUUGUAAGCCACAGUGAUUAUUUUAAACAUAAAUUAUUUUAAUUAAAAUCCAUUUUCUUAGUAUACAGGAAACUUUAUUGGUGUCUUUGUGUUAGUGAUUUGGAGAUAAAGCCAGUGUCUGGGUGAUUCAUGAAUCUCAUUUAAUCACUAUGAUUGAGAAGGGCUUGAAUGUUUAAUUAUCAUGACCAUUGGCUAUAUUCCACCUAUACUGUUCAAAUAAUAAAUACCUCCCAAAUGGCCUCCACCAAGCUGGCUUCAAACAAAAUGGGAGAUUCAUGAUGGAUGCUUCUAAUUACCCUGUUCAUCAUAUUGGAAAUUGUCAUCUGUAUGGUACAAUUUCGAAUACUAGGAACCAACUAAUUUUAUAGGAUUUUUAAGACAGGUGUGAAAAUCAUGUUCCUCUAAAAGAGAACCAGAGCAAAUCCUUGUCAGUGAAUUUAAAUUAGGGCACCUACAUACUUAACAGUCAUAUGUACUUCUAAUUGACACACGGAAGCAAAGACACUUCCUCAGUAAUUCUAGUUAAUCAAGAAACUAAUUCUUAUAGGUGGUGGCAGGAAAAAGGAUCAAUGCACUUUUCAAUUAGACUCUCUUGUUAGGUUAACACUGAAGGCGUGUUUCAGCCUCAGCACUGAUCAUUUAUUUUCUGUAAAUAGCGCCAUACAGACAACAAAUCAAUGGGAUGGAGAAAUCAACUUUAGGUACAAUUUUGAAGAACAUAUACUAUAGUUAUUAUUAUUUUAAUUAGGCAAAUUAUAAACCUAUUUGCUGUUCUUUAUUAGGGGGCUCAAGAUAAUUAAAGAAUUUUUUUAAUUGAAUAAACCUAAAUUUCUGCUGGUCUUUGGAAAUGCCAAAGCCAUGAGGAUGUCUCUCCACUUGAGUUGCAAUAUUCACUUACUCUUUGUGAUAGAACAAAUCCAGAGCAAAGCUUCCAGUGGUGGAGAUGGGACAGAAUUAGUCUGGUGCAAAGGAAGUAGACUCCAGGAGUGUAGAUGGGACAGAAUUAGACAGGUGCACAGGAAGUAGAUUCCAGGGGUGGAGAUGGACUGGGCUGAGACAGUUGCACAGGAAGUAGAUUCCAGGGAUGGAGAUGGACUGGGCUGAGACAGGAUCACAGGAAGUAGAUUCCUGGGGUGUAGAUGGGACUGGAGUGGGACAGGUGCAUAGGAAGCAGAUUCCAGGGGUGUAGAUGGACUGGACUGAAACAGGUGAACAAGAAGCAAAGUCCAGGGGUGGGGUUGGACUGCACUGAGACAGUUGCCCAGAAAGUAGAUUCCAGGGCUGUAGAUGGGACUGGAGUGAGACAGGUGCACCAGAAGUAGAUUCCAGUGUUGGCGAUGGACUGGAGUGAGACAGGUGCACAGGAAGUAGAUUCCUGGGGUGGAGAUGAACUGGAGCGAGACAGUUGCCCAGAAAGCAGAUUCCAGGGUGGAGAUGGACUGGAGUGAGACAGGUGCACAGGAAGUAGAUUCCAGUGUUGGCGAUGGACUGGAGUGAGACAGGUGCACAGGAAGUAGAUUCCUGGAGUGGAGAUGGACUGGAGUGAAACAGGUGCACAGGAAGUAGAUUCAAUGGUGGAGAUGGGACGGGAG